rnacentral:rRNA from 1 species
GCUCGAGUGGCGAACGGGUGAGUAUCACGUGAGUAACCUGCCCUUGACUUUGGGAUAACUUCAGGAAACUGGGGCUAAUACCGGAUAGGAGCUCCUGCUGCAUGGUGGGGGUUGGAAAGUUUCGGCGGUUGGGGAUGGACUCGCGGCUUAUCAGCUUGUUGGUGGGGUAGUGGCUUACCAAGGCUUUGACGGGUAGCCGGCCUGAGAGGGUGACCGGCCACAUUGGGACUGAGAUACGGCCCAG